UACGGGGGGGGCAAGCGUUGUUCGGAAUUACUGGGCGUAAAGGGCUCGUAGGCGGCCAACUAAGUCACACGUGAAAUCCCCAGGCUUAACCUGGGAACUGCGUGUGAUACUGGAUGGCUUGAAUUCGGGAGAGGGAUGCAGAAUUCCAGGUGUAGCGGUGAAAUGCGCAGAUAUCAGGAGGAACACCGGUGGCGAAGGCGGGUCUCUGGGCCGAUACUGACGCUGAGGAGCGAAAGCGUGGGGAGCGAACAGG
rnacentral:rRNA from 1 species